UGCAAAAUAUAAUAAACAAUUUAACUUUUUCAAAUUCCAAAACAAUAAUAAUAUUCUAACAAUAUUUUAUUCAACUUUCAUCUUAACUCACUAUCCAAACGGUAUCUAAGUGGCCACAAUCCAUGAAGGGAAAUUUAUUGUACAGUCAUACUACAAGUCCCUCAUGACACACUCUACAAGAACAUUCUCAUGGAAGAACAUAUGGAAGACUAAGGCCCUCCUAAAAGCUUCUUUUUUUGUAUGCACAGCUUCACUAGGGAAGAUUCUUACCUUAGAUAUUCUAAGAAAAGGCUGAUUGAUUGUAUUGGAUUGCUUUGGUAGAGUGGGACUCGUUUGGGUAAUAAAUGUCAAGAAGGGUUGUUGACUUUUUGGUCAGCUGGCAAGGCAUUUGAGGUAAUUCUCAAAUCGCAGCGAUGUGGAAGAUAAUACCGAUCUGCCUACGGUGAUGCAUAUGGAUGGAGAGGAAUGGUUGGAGUUUUGAGGAUCGUGAACAGACAAUGAGAGAGAUUAUAACUUUUUUUCUUCGUACAUUAUUCCAUUUGUCGAUUGUAAUAGACUUUAAUGGCAUGAACCUACAUGAUUUUCUUGUAUCUUUAGAUAGUCAUGCAUAGGUGUGGUUCUUGUAUAUGUCCCGUGUACUUAGCUUCGCCUAAUUUUAAUAAAAUUCCUAUUUACUGA